UACAGAGGUCCCAAGCGUUGUUCGGAUUCACUGGGCGUAAAGGGUGCGCAGGUGGGUUGGCAAGUUCGAUGUGAAAGCCCCGGGCUUAACCCGGGAAUGGCAUUGGAAACUGCUGAUCUGGAGGAUCGGAGGGGGGACUGGAAUUCUUGGUGUAGCAGUGAAGUGCGUAGAUAUCAAGAGGAACACCAGUGGCGAAGGCGAGUCCCUGGACGAUACCUGACACUGAGGCACGAAAGCCAAGGGAGCAAACAGG
rnacentral:rRNA from 1 species